UACGUAGGGUGCAAGCGUUGUCCGGAAUUAUUGGGCGUAAAGGGCUCGUAGGCGGUCCAUCGCGUCGGGAGUGAAAAGCUGGGGCUCAACCCCAGUCCUGCUUCCGAUACGGGUGGACUAGAGGUAGGCAGGGGAGAACGGAAUUCCUGGUGUAGCGGUGAAAUGCGCAGAUAUCAGGAGGAACACCUGUGGCGAAAGCGGCUCACUGGACCAUUACUGACGCUGAUGCUCGAAAGCUAGGGGAGCAAACAGG
rnacentral:rRNA from 1 species